GUGUCAGCAGCCGCGGUAAUACGAACUGUGCAAACGUUAUUCGGAAUCACUGGGCUUACAGGGUGCGUAGGCGGUCUGUUAAGUAGGGUGUGAAAGCCCCCGGCUCAACCGGGGAAUUGCGCCCUAAACUGGCGGACUGGAGUGAGAUAGGGGUGUGCGGAACUUCCGGUGGAGCGGUGAAAUGUGUUGAUAUCGGAAGGAACGCCGGUGGCGAAAGCGGCACACUGGAUCUCAACUGACGCUGAGGCACGAAAGCCAGGGGAGCGAACGGGAUUAGAAACCCCCGUAGUCC
rnacentral:rRNA from 1 species